GGGUGUUUGGUCUAGUAGUAUGAUUCUUGUUUCGGGUGCAAGAGACUUUUAGUUCAAUUUUCACAACACCCC
rfam:Ipomoea nil DNA, scaffold: scaffold2283, cultivar: Tokyo-kokei standard.